AAUAGUUCACGAGGGAGGCCGUAAAACGGCCUGAGAGUUCCGCACUUUAAGCGGAUUACCUUAAGAACCUGAUCUGGUUAAUACCAGCGUAGGGAGGUGAUAAAUGAUUUUUG
rnacentral:ncRNA from 2 species